UAUGGUAAUAGCACCUUAAAAUACCACUUCUCUUCCGAUCACCGAAGUUAAGCAAUAUCAAGCCUGGUCAGUACCUAGAUGGGAUACCGGACGGGAAA
rnacentral:rRNA from 1 species